rnacentral:rRNA from 1 species
ACGCUCGACACCUACGGGAGGCAGCAGUCGGGAAUAUUGCGCAAUGGAGGAAACUCUGACGCAGUGACGCCGCGUGCAGGAAGAAGGUUUUCGGAUUGUAAACUGCUUUAGACAGGGAAGAAGAAGUGACAGUACCUGUAGAAUAAGCUCCGGCUAACUACGUGCCGGCAGCCGCGGUAAUCUGAGCGGNUGGCAAGGC